AUGCAGGGCUUCCUCGCGGCCAUGGUCACUGCUGCUUUUAAAGGGGGAAGAAGGGGAGGGAGAGNCGGAGGAGGGUCCGGGCGCGCCACGGGAACGCACAGCGCAGCAAUGGAUAUAAAUACAAAUACAGCCGCACGAGCGGGUCUUCUCCGACCCGGGCAUGCAGGGCGCGCUGAUGGGAAUCGCCCCCCACCCCGAGCAGCUGGGGUUUUGGGAGUGGGGGGUUGCAGAGGAGUUGUCCCUCCUCCCCGCCAGCGCCUGCCUCGCGAGUCUUCCUCUCCGGCCACUGGACAGGAGAGUUCGCAGGUCUGUGCUGAGGCUGCUCCCGCCUUCCCCACUCCGGCAGCGCAAGUGGGGCCGUUCCCGGCCCGGGCCGCCGCGCUGGCGCUCUGCGGGCGGCUGGAGCUCUCUGCUCCGGCUCAGGUGAGUGUCGCUACCUGCGUGUGUGCCCGCCCGCAGCCGGCGCUGGGUGUGCAUGUCCAGCCGCGGCUGAGUGUGUGUAUAUCUGGGGGCAUGCGGAGGAGGUGGAGCCGGGGCCUGCAGGAGGGAGGAGGGACCAGCAGAGCCUCCUCCCGCUCCCACACCCCCAGGACCUCGGAUUAA
rnacentral:lncRNA from 1 species